CAGUUGUUUAUAUUUUUAUGUUUUCGUAAUUAUGGAAAUGUGCUACAACAACACUGGACAAGCAAAAGGCAUCUAUAGUUUCCAGAAAACUACUUAGUUGUGAAAAUGCAAUGAAAUGUUCUUCUGUAAUAUCAGAAAAAUAGCAGGGGAAAAAUACCAUAUUUGCAGUAUUUGGAUUACUCGACUUUAAUAUUAUCAUAAACAGUAUGAAUUUUUCAUAGCAGACUUUUGCGAAAAAAGAGAUCUGCAUGUUUAAGGAACUGACAAGCAGACCAUGAAAAGAGAAAACUUCGUGCUAUUCAAAACUUCAUAUUCAUAGGACUACUGGAGUGUGCAGUCACAAUUACUAUUCUAGAACUUCGAACCACACGCAUAAAACGCGAGGAGAAAUUUUGAAAACAAAAGACUGAAGAAAAG